rnacentral:rRNA from 1 species
GGGGAAUAUUGCACAAUGGGGGAAACCCUGAUGCAGCAACGCCGCGUGAGUGAUGACGGUCUUCGGAUUGUAAAGCUCUGUCUUUAGGGACGAUAAUGACGGUACCUAAGGAGGAAGCCACGGCUAACUACGUGCCAGCAGCCGCGGUAAUACGUAGGUGGCAAGCGUUGUCCGGAUUUACUGGGCGUAAAGGGAGCGUAGGUGGAUAUUUAAGUGGGAUGUGAAAUACCCGGGCUCAACUUGGGUGCUGCAUUCCAAACUGGUUAUCGAGAGUGCAGGAGAGGAGAGUGGAAUUCCUAGUGUAGCGGUGAAAUGCGUAGAGAUUAGGAAGAACACCAGUGGCGAAGGCGGCUUUCUGGACUGUAACUGACACUGAGGCAUGAAAGCGUGGGGAGCAAAC